rnacentral:rRNA from 1 species
GCUCAGGACGAACGCUGGCGGCGUGCUUAACACAUGCAAGUCGAGCGGAAAGGCCCUUCGGGGUACUCGAGCGGCGAACGGGUGAGUAACACGUGAGUAAUCUGCCCUCCACUUUGGGAUAGCCACCGGAAACGGUGAUUAAUACCGGAUAUGACCUGUGCCCGCAUGGGUGUUGGUGGAAAGUUUUUCGGUGGGGGAUGUGCUCGCGGCCUAUCAGCUUGAUGGUGGGGUAAUGGCCUACCAUGGCUUCGACGGGUAGCCGGCCUGAGAGGGUGACCGGCCACACUGGGACUGAGACACGGCCCAGACUCCUACGGGAGGCAGCAGUGGGGAAUAUUGGACAAUGGGCGGAAGCCUGAUCCAGCAACGCCGCGUGAGGGAUGACGGCCUUCGGGUUGUAAACCUCUUUCGGUGGGGACGAAGCGAAAGUGACGGUACCC